UGGCAGGGUCUGGCACAGCACAGCAUGGCACAGCAUGGCAUGGAGCUGGCACAGCAUGACAUGGGGCUGGCACAGUCUGCCUGGCUCAACAAAGCCCAGUAUGGCAGGGUUUGGCUUGCCAUGAAGCUGGCACUGGCCUGGUACAAUCUGCCUGGCUUGGCACAGCAUGGCACAGGGCUGGAACAGCCUGACACAGCAUGGCACAGCACAAGAUGGCACACCAUGGGACUGGCACAGUCUUCCUGGCUUGGUACAGCCCAGCACAGCAGGGUCUGGCAUGGCACAGCAUGGCACAGCUAAGAAUGGCCUGGGGCUGGCACAGCCCUGCACAGAAUGGCACAAAGCUGGCACAGAAGGGCCCACAUCUUGUCCCACAUCUGGCAUGGCACAGCAUGGUCCUUACGGCCUGGCACUGCCCAGUAUGGUCCAGCAUGGGAUGGCACAGCCCAGUUUGGCGUGGCAUGGUCCAGCAUGGCACAGCCUGGCCUGGUUUGGCAUGGCACGGCACAGCCCAGUACAUCCCAGUCCUGCUGUGGUGUGGCAAAGCCCGGCCCGGCACGGUGUGUACCCCCACCCAGGAGGGCAGGAGGUGCCAGGGGACCCUCUGUGCCCCCCAGCCCGGCCAUGCCCACGCCGGUGGGACCGAGAGGGUCCUGGCAGCGCCGUCCUGGCGCAGGGACACUCCUGCCACCACCCACCGCCCUCUGGCCCCGGGGAAAAGCCACACAAGGGGACGCUUUCUGCGGGGACAAGGGGACUCUGUGCCCGGCCCUCGGUGCCACCCGGCUCCACCGCCCCGGGGUCACCCGCCCCGUCAUGCGCCUGCCCCGGUGGCACCGCGCGCUCCGGCAUCACUGCCGCUUUGUUCCGCGCCGCCACCGCAGGGGACAAGCUGUGCCGGGGAUGGGCGUUAAGGAGCCGGGUUUUUGGGGACACGAGGGUGCACACACACACACACACCACACACACACACACAUGUGCACGCUCCCCAACGACCCCAAUAACCCCAACCUCGGAGCAGCCGCUGGGAAUUCACGCUCGGUUUCGUGCAGGGGAUUAAAAAACAGGCCGUGAAGUUCCAAAUAAAAAAAUAAAAAUAAAAAUAAAAAUAAAAUUA
rnacentral:lncRNA from 1 species